rnacentral:tRNA from 1 species
AGGGUUGUGACUCAGUGGUAGAAUGCUCAUCUAGUGGCAGGUGAGGCCCUGGGUUCAAUCCUCAGCAAUAUAU